UAUUGUCAUUUUCCAAAAAUUUAUUUUUCUCUUCUAAAACUUUAAGUUUAGCCUUGGCCUCUUUGGAGAUUUUUGAAGACUUUUUCAAUUCAUCAUAUAAUUCUUGAAAAGCUUCUUGUAAUUCUUCAUAAGAGUAAGGGUUAGGAGUACUUACCUCUUCUUCCUCGUUGGCCAUGAGGCAUAGGGCUGCAGUUUCAUCACCCGAGCUGUACGAAU
rnacentral:lncRNA from 1 species